ensembl:ncRNA C18A3.15 ncRNA
UUCCGCCAAAAGAUACGCCGCCAUGAAGGAAAGUGAUUUAGAAUAGUUUUUUGCGGUCAGUUUACCUUGAAAGAAAAAACUGUUGGAAUGUGGGUAUCGAGAUGUAGGUGAAACUUUAAUUCAAUGUGGGUGAAA